GAAAGCUUGCUUUCUUUGCUGACGAGUGGCGGACGGGUGAGUAAUGCUUGGGAAUCUGGCUUAUGGAGGGGGAUAACUACGGGAAACUGUAGCUAAUACCGCGUAAUAUCUUCGGAUUAAAGGGUGGGACUUUCGGGCCACCUGCCAUAAGAUGAGCCCAAGUGGGAUUAGGUAGUUGGUUAGGUAAAGGCUGACCAAGCCGACGAUCUCUAGCUGGUCUGAGAGGAUGACCAGCCACACUGGAACUGAGACACGGUCCAGACUCCUACGGGAGGCAGCAGUGGGGAAUAUUGCACAAUGGGGGGAACCCUGAUGCAGCCAUGCCGCGUGAAUGAAGAAGGCCUUCGGGUUGUAAAGUUCUUUCGGUAGCGAGGAAGGUGGUUAUGUAAAUAGCAUAAUCAAUUGACGUUAACUACAGAAGAAGCACCGGCUAACUCCGUGCCAGCAGCCGCGGUAAUACGGGGGGUGCGAGCGUUAAUCGGAAUAACUGGGCGUAAAGGGCACGCAGGCGGUGACUUAAGUGAGAUGUGAAAGCCCCGAGCUUAACUUGGGAAUUGCAUUUCAUACUGGGUCGCUAGAGUACUUUAGGGAGGGGUAGAAUUCCACGUGUAGCGGUGAAAUGCGUAGAGAUGUGGAGGAAUACCGAAGGCGAAGGCAGCCCCUUGGGAAUGUACUGACGCUCAUGUGCGAAAGCGUGGGGAGCAAACAGGAUUAGAUACCCUGGUAGUCCACGCUGUAAACGAUGUCGAUUUGGGGAUUGGGCUUUAAGCUUGGUGCCCGUAGCUAACGUGAUAAAUCGACCGCCUGGGGAGUACGGCCGCAAGGUUAAAACUCAAAUGAAUUGACGGGGGCCCGCACAAGCGGUGGAGCAUGUGGUUUAAUUCGAUGCAACGCGAAGAACCUUACCUACUCUUGAC
rnacentral:rRNA from 1 species